UGAGGAAUCUUGCGCAAUGGGCGAAAGCCUGACGCAGCCACGCCGCGUGGAGGAAGACACCCCUCAGGGGCGUAAACUCCUUUUGUACGGGAAGAACACCCUGCUCGGCAGGGUCUGACGGUACCGUACGAAUAAGCACCGGCUAACUCCGUGCCAGCAGCCGCGGUAAUACGGAGGGUGCAAGCGUUGUCCGGAUUUAUUGGGUUUAAAGGGUACGUAGGCGGGCUGUUAAGUCUGAGGUGAAAGCUCCUAGCUCAACUAGGAAAUUGCCUUGGAUACUGGCAGUCUUGAGUACAGUAGAGGUGGGCGGAAUUCAUGGUGUAGCGGUGAAAUGCAUAGAUACCAUGAGGAACACCGAUAGGGAAGCCAGCUCACUGGACUGUUACUGACGCUGAGGUACGAAAGCGUGGGGAGCGAACAGGAUUAGAUACCCGUGUAGUCC
rnacentral:rRNA from 1 species